AACGAACGCUGGCGGCAUGCCUAACACAUGCAGGUCGAACGAGACCUUCGGGUCUAGUGGCGCACGGGUGCGUAACGCGUGGGAAUCUACCCUCAGGUUCGGAAUAACUCAGAGAAAUUUGAGCUAAUACCGGAUGAUGACGUAAGUCCAAAGAUUUAUCGCCUGAGGAUGAGCCCGCGUAGGAUUAGGUAGUUGGUGAGGUAAAGGCUCACCAAGCCGACGAUCCUUAGCUGGUCUGAGAGGAUGAUCAGCCACACUGGGACUGAGACACGGCCCAGACUCCUACGGGAGGCAGCAGUGGGGAAUAUUGGACAAUGGGCGAAAGCCUGAUCCAGCAAUGCCGCGUGAGUGAUGAAGGCCUUAGGGUUGUAAAGCUCUUUUACCCGGGAUGAUAAUGACAGUACCGGGAGAAUAAGCUCCGGCUAACUCCGUG
rnacentral:rRNA from 1 species